ncrna:unclassified sequences c-di-GMP-II-GAG riboswitch
UGACAGGCGGGAGGCUGUGACGCGCGGCCCCAACCCCGGCCGCCGGGACCGCGCCGAGCCACUGGCGAGACCGACCCGUGCAA